rnacentral:rRNA from 1 species
AAAACAUCUUUUCUUGUUAGUUUUUGAAGUAUGGCCUGCCCGCUGACAUUUGGUGUUGAAGGGCCGCGGUAUUUUGACCGUGCAAAGGUAGCAUAAUCAUUAGUUCUUUAAUUGUGAUCUGGAAUGAAUGGCUUGACGAGGCACGGGCUGUCUUAGUGUUGAAUGUUUUAUUGAAUUUGGUCUUUGAGUUAAAAUUCUUAGAUGUUUUUGUGGGACGAGAAGACCCUAUAGAGUUUGACAUUUGGUUUAUUUACUUGUUUGUUGUUUGUUUAUUUUUGGUGAGUGGGCUUUUUGUUUUGUUGGGGUGAUGGGAGGAAUGUACUUAACUCCUCUUAGUUUUGGUUAUAUUGAUUUAUAAUUGUUUGAUCCAUUUAUUUUGAUUAUAAGAUUAAAUUACCUUAGGGAUAACAGCGU